rnacentral:rRNA from 1 species
UACGUAGGGGGCAAGCGUUGUCCGGAUUUAUUGGGCGUAAAGCGCGCGUAGGCGGUUACUCAAGUCGGAUGUGAAAGCCCUCGGCUUAACUGAGGAAGUGCACCCGAAACUGAGUAGCUAGAGUACUAAAGAGGGUCGCGGAAUUCCCGGUGUAGAGGUGAAAUUCGUAGAUAUCGGGAGGAACACCGGUGGCGAAGGCGGCGACCUGGGUAGAUACUGACGCUGAGGCGCGAAAGCGUGGGGAGCAAACAGG